AUACGGAGGGUCCAAGCGUUAUCCGGAAUCAUUGGGUUUAAAGGGUCCGCAGGCAGUCAAUUAAGUCAGAGGUGAAAGCCCAUCGCUCAACGAUGGAACUGCCUUUGAUACUGGUUGACUUGAGUUAUACGGAAGUAGAUAGAAUAAGUAGUGUAGCGGUGAAAUGCAUAGAUAUUACUUAGAAUACCGAUUGCGAAGGCAGUCUACUACGUAUAUACUGACGCUGAGGGACGAAAGCGUGGGGAGCGAACAGGAUUAGAAACCCCAGUAGUCC
rnacentral:rRNA from 1 species